rnacentral:rRNA from 1 species
UACGGGGGGGGCAAGCGUUGUUCGGAAUUACUGGGCGUAAAGGGCUCGUAGGCGGCCAACUAAGUCGGAUGUGAAAUCCCCAAGCUUAACUUGGGAACUGCAUCCGAUACUGGAUGGCUUGAAUCCGGGAGAGGGAUGCAGAAUUCCAGGUGUAGCGGUGAAAUGCGUAGAUAUCUGGAGGAAUACCGGUGGCGAAGGCGGCAUCCUGGACCGGCAUUGACGCUGAGGCACGAAAGCGUGGGGAGCAAACAGG